rnacentral:lncRNA from 1 species
ACGGGAGAGUGGCUCAACAGUGAGCUUUGCUCUUUCUUUCACUCGGACUAAUGUAUCUCCAAGGUCAUUAAUGUUCUUUGCUCUGAGUUUACUUUGGUUCCGUGUCUAGCUUACGACAUGCUACAAGUAUGCCUUUUUAUACUCAUAGCAGCUAUGAGUUUAUCUUGGACUUACACAAGUCAUUCAAAGAAAUGUCUCCCUUGUCCUCUCUCAGUGUUACCCUUAGACACGGUAAGAGCUGUCAAAAGGUCUUUAGUAAACUCUAGACCAAAGGCUACCAUGCCAUCUACUGUAGUAAUGAACCACAGCAUGCAUCUGGCAGUUGUGGCUGGGAACUUGUAGUCUGCCCAGGAGAUAGGAGAUGGAUAUCUACAGCAUCACUGUUGGAAUCCAACACAGAGAAAAGAAAUCUCUUAAAAUGAAGAAGACGAAAUAUCACACUGAGCCGCUGAAGGAGCAUGGCUCCACUCAUUCUACGGAGAUGUUUGGACACUGGACUGACUUGAAUGCUGCCUUAGGGGCAUGAGUGGCGUGCUGAGAUCGUCAGACUGCAGAGGUUUGGUGCCAAGCAGAAGGCAUUCGUGUUCUAACGGUGUCCCCAUGUCCCUACUGCAGAAGCCAGCAAGUCUGCUCUGUCACCCUGCGAUUAUGUAGCUCCAGGUCAUGCACCUCUGUGUGGAACAGCACACCUACUCCCACUCCACCCAAGUUGC